ACACACGGAACUUAAGUUCAAGUCCCAACUCAUUCAGGGCAUUGAAAAAUGUUGGCGGCAGUUGACGUUGUUGAAGCCGUUAAAGAAACGAAUCGUCCAAGUCUCCAUGAACGGGGCGAGCAACCCACAGAGGGUGUCAGGCCCGUAGCUUAGACGAGCCGAGACCGUGCAUCGGAUCCCUUCCCAAGAGUCGGGUUGCUUGAGCGUGCAGCCCUAAGCGGGAGGUAAACUCCUUCUAAGGCUAAAUAUCGCCACGAGACCGAUAGCGAACAAGUACCGCGAGGGAAAGUUGAAAAGAACUUUGAAGAGAGAGUUCAAGAGUGCGUGAAACCGUUCAGGGGGUUAAACGGGUGGGCCCUCGAAGGUCGAACGAGCCCCCGCUCCCGGCACUUGGUUGCAUGCCCUCU
rnacentral:ncRNA from 1 species